GUCCACGCCCUAAACGAUGAGAACUAGCCGUUGGGCCCUUUAAGGGUUUAGUGGCGCAGCUAACGCAUUAAGUUCUCCGCCUGGGGAGUACGGCCGCAAGGUUAAAACUCAAAUGAAUUGACGGGGGCCCGCACAAGCGGUGGAGCAUGUGGUUUAAUUCGAUGCAACGCGAAGAACCUUACCUGGUCUUGACAUCCUGCGAACUUUCCAGAGAUGGAUUGGUGCCUUCGGGAGCGCAGAGACAGGUGCUGCAUGGCUGUCGU
rnacentral:rRNA from 1 species